rnacentral:misc_RNA from 1 species
UACGGAGGUAGCUAGCGUUGUUCGUAAUUACUGGGCGUAAAGCGCACGUAGGCGGCGAUCCAAGUCAGGGGUUAAAUCCCGGGGCUCAACCCCGGAACGUCCCUUGAAACUAGGUUGCUAGAAUACUGGAGAGGUGAGUGGAAUUCCGAGUGUAGAGGUGAAAUUCGUAGAUAUUCGGAAGAACACCAGUGGCGAAGGCGACUCACUGGACAGUUAUUGACGCUGAGGUGCGAAAGCGUGGGGAGCAAAAAAG